rnacentral:rRNA from 1 species
AACGAACGCUGGCGGCAUGCCUAACACAUGCAAGUCGAACGAGACCUUUGGGUCUAGUGGCGCACGGGUGCGUAACGCGUGGGAAUCUGCCCUUGGGUUCGGAAUAACAGUGAGAAAUUGCUGCUAAUACCGGAUGAUGUCUUCGGACCAAAGAUUUAUCGCCCAGGGAUGAGCCCGCGUAGGAUUAGCUAGUUGGUGGGGUAAUGGCCUACCAAGGCGACGAUCCUUAGCUGGUCUGAGAGGAUGAUCAGCCACACUGGGACUGAGACACGGCCCAGACUCCUACGGGAGGCAGCAGUGGGGAAUAUUGGACAAUGGGCGCAAGCCUGAUCCAGCAAUGCCGCGUGGGUGAUGAAGGCCUUAGGGUUGUAAAGCUCUUUUACCAGGGAUGAUAAUGACAGUACCUGGAGAAUAAGCUCCGGCUAACUCCGUG